rnacentral:rRNA from 1 species
CUGAGAGGAUGAUCCGCCACACUGGUACUGAGACACGGACCAGACUCCUACGGGAGGCAGCAGUGGGGAAUAUUGCACAAUGGACGAAAGUCUGAUGCAGCAACGCCGCGUGGAGGAUGACACAUUUCGGUGCGUAAACUCCUUUUAUAUGAGAAGAUAAUGACGGUAUCAUAUGAAUAAGCACCGGCUAACUCCGUGCCAGCAGCCGCGGUAAUACGGAGGGUGCAAGCGUUAUUCGGAAUCACUGGGCGUAAAGGGUGCGUAGGCGGUUUGGAAAGUCAGAUGUGAAAGCCUACAGCUUAACUGUAGAACUGCAUUUGAAACUUCCAGACUAGAAUACUGAAGGGGCAGAUGGAAUUAGUGGUGUAGGGGUAAAAUCCGUAGAUAUCACUAGGAAUACCGAAAGCGAAAGCGAUCUGCUGGGAAG